GGGCGCGUAGCUCAGGUGGUUAGAGCGCACGGUUCACAUCCGUGAGGUCACAGGUUCGAGCCCUGUCGUGCCCA
rnacentral:tRNA from 1 species